UGGGGAAUAUUGCACAAUGGAGGGAACUCUGAUGCAGCGACGCCGCGUGAACGAAGAAGGCUUUCGAGUCGUAAAGUUCUUUUAUAUGGGAAGAUAAUGACGGUACCAUAAGAAGAAGCCCCGGCUAACUACGUGCCAGCAGCCGCGGUAAUACGUAGGGGGCUAGCGUUGUCCGGAAUCACUGGGCGUAAAGGGUUCGCAGGCGGAAAUGCAAGUCAGGUGUAAAAGGCAGUAGCUUAACUACUGUAAGCAUUUGAAACUGCAUAUCUUGAGAAGAGUAGAGGUAAAUGGAAUUUUUAGUGUAGCGGUGAAAUGCGUAGAUAUUAAAAAGAAUACCGGUGGCGAAGGCGACUUCCUGGGCGCAUUCUGACGCUGAGGAACGAAAGCGUGGGUAGCAAACAGG
rnacentral:rRNA from 1 species